rnacentral:rRNA from 1 species
CUACGGGAUGCAGCAGUGAGGAAUAUUGCACAAUGGGGGGAACCCUGAUGCAGCAACGCCGCGUGGAGGAUGACGCAUUUCGGUGUGUAAACUCCUUUUAUAUGUCAAGAAAAUGACGGUAGCAUAUGAAUAAGCGCCGGCUAACUCCGUGCCAGCAGCCGCGGUAAUACGGAGGGCGCAAGCGUUACUCGGAAUCACUGGGCGUAAAGGACGCGUAGGCGGGUUGAAAAGUCAGGUGUGAAAGCCUACAGCUUAACUGUAGAACUGCACUUGAAACUCUCAAUCUAGAGUAUGGGAGGGGCAGAUGGAAUUAGUGGUGUAGGGGUAAAAUCCGUAGAUAUCACUAGGAAUACCUAAAGCGAAGGCGAUCUGCUGGAACAUUACUGACGCUAAGGCGUGAAAGCGUGGGGAGCAAACAGGAUUAGAUACCCGCGUAGUC